CGCCGCAUGUGAUGUCCCUAUGAAAAGAGGUGGACACAAGAAUUAUUCCUUUCCCGGUCACAACCGAAGCAUCUCCCAGCCGUAAGCCCCACUACUUAUUCAAGAACACAUACUUGCUGUUGAUUACUUACUCUGCUGUGCAGAUCGCAGGAUCCUCUGGGCCGAAUGCCGCAUGUGAUGUCCCUAUGAAAAGAGGUGGACACAAGAAUUAUUCCUUUCCCGGUCACAACCGAAGCCUCUCCCAGCCGUAAGCCCCAUUACUUAUGCAAGAACACAUACUUACUGUUGAUUACUUACUCUGCU